AUAGCGUAUAUUUAAGUUGUUACAGUUAAAAAGCUCGUAGUUGGACUUAGGGGUGGGUCGGCCGGUCCGCCUCAUGGUGAGCGCCGGUCUGCUCGUCCCUACUGCUGGUAAUGCGCUCCUGGCCUUAAUUGGCUGGGUCGUUCCUCUGACGCUGUUACUUUGAAGAAAUUAGAGUGCUCAAAAUAGGCCUACGCUUGUAUACAUUAGCAUGGGAUAACAUCAUAGGAUUUCGAUCCUAUU
rnacentral:ncRNA from 1 species